rnacentral:lncRNA from 1 species
GGCAUCUAUGACUUCAUUGGGGAAUUCAUGAAGGCCAGUGUGGAUGUGGCAGACCUGAUAGGCCUAAACCUUGUCAUGUCCCGGAAUGCAGGCAAGGGGGAGUACAAGAUCAUGGUUGCUGCCCUGGGCUGGGCCACUGCUGAACUCAUUAUGUCCCGGUGUGUGGAGAAACUUGGAGGCCAAACUUCUGGGAGAGGACAGCUGGGUCCCACAGGGGUGCUGAAGGGAGUUGAUCAGAGGCUGGGUGCUGGGGUUGGGGGAGUCUGGGUACUAGAGACUGCCUCCCUUUGCUUUCCUCAGCUGCAUCCCUCUCUGGGUGGGAGCCCGAGGCAUUGAAUUUGACUGGAAAUAUAUCCAGAUGAGCAUUGACUCCAACAUCA